rnacentral:rRNA from 1 species
AGCGAACGCUGGCGGCAGGCCUAACACAUGCAAGUCGAACGAAACCUUCGGGUUUAGUGGCGGACGGGUGAGUAACACGUGGGAACGUGCCUUUUGGUUCGGAACAACUCAGGGAAACUUGAGCUAAUACCGGAUGUGCCCUUCGGGGGAAAGAUUUAUCGCCAUUAGAGCGGCCCGCGUAGGAUUAGCUAGUUGGUGGG